rnacentral:rRNA from 1 species
CUACGGGCCGCAGCAGUGGGGAAUAUUGGACAAUGGGGGCAACCCUGAUCCAGCCAUGCCGCGUGUGUGAAGAAGGCCUUCGGGUUGUAAAGCACUUUCAGUUGGGAGGAAAGGUGUGUAGCUAAUAUCUGCACGCUGUGACGUUACCAACAGAAGAAGCACCGGCUAACUCCGUGCCAGCAGCCGCGGUAAUACGGAGGGUGCAAGCGUUAAUCGGAAUUACUGGGCGUAAAGCGCACGCAGGCGGUUGAUUAAGCGAGAUGUGAAAGCCCCGGGCUUAACCUGGGAAUUGCAUUUCGAACUGAUCAGCUAGAGUAUCAUAGAGGGGGGUAGAAUUCCAGGUGUAGCGGUGAAAUGCGUAGAGAUCGGGAGGAAUACCAAAGGCGAAGGCAGCCCCCUGGACGAAGACUGACGCUCAGGUGCGAAAGCGUGGGGAGCAAACAGGAUUAGAUACCCCAGUAGUC